rnacentral:rRNA from 1 species
CUGAGAGGUUGAACGGCCACAUUGGGACUGAGACACGGCCCAGACUCCUACGGGAGGCAGCAGUGGGGAAUAUUGCGCAAUGGGGGCAACCUUGACGCAGCAACGCCGCGUGAAGGAUGAAGGUUUUCGGAUUGUAAACUUCUUUUAUUAAGGACGAAAAUGACGGUACUUAAUGAAUAAGCUCCGGCUAACUACGUGCCAGCCGC